UACGUAGGGUGCAAGCGUUGUCCGGAAUUAUUGGGCGUAAAGAGCUCGUAGGCGGUCUGUCGCGUCGAAUGUGAAAACCCGGGGCUCAACCCCGGGCCUGCAUUCGAUACGGGCAGACUAGAGUUCGGUAGGGGAGUCUGGAAUUCCUGGUGUAGCGGUGAAAUGCGUAGAUAUCGGGAGGAACAUCAGUGGCGAAGGCGGCCUUCUGGUCCAGUACUGACACUCAAGUGCGAAAGCGUGGGGAGCAAACAGG
rnacentral:rRNA from 1 species